rnacentral:rRNA from 1 species
CCUACGGGAGGCAGCAGUGGGGAAUAUUGCACAAUGGGCGAAAGCCUGAUGCAGCGACGCCGCGUGAGGGAUGACGGCCUUCGGGUUGUAAACCUCUUUCGCACGGGACGAAGCGUAAGUGACGGUACCGUGAGAAGAAGCACCGGCUAACUACGUGCCAGCAGCCGCGGUAAUACGUAGGGUGCGAGCGUUGUCCGGAAUUAUUGGGCGUAAAGAGCUCGUAGGCGGUUUGUCGCGUCGACUGUGAAAACUGGGGGCUUAACUCUCAGCUUGCAGUCGAUACGGGCAGACUUGAGUUCGGUAGGGGAGACUGGAAUUCCUGGUGUAGCGGUGAAAUGCGCAGAUAUCAGGAGGAACACCGGUGGCGAAGGCGGGUCUCUGGGCCGAUACUGACGCUGAGGAGCGAAAGCGUGGGGAGCGAACAGGAUUAGAUACCCUGGUACUCCACGCUGUAAACGUUGGGCGCUAGGUGUGGGGAGCAUCCCACCUUUCCGUGAUGGCUCUAACGCAUUAAGCGCCCCGCCCUGGGAGUACGGCCGCAAGGUUAUCAUUCAUAGGAGUUGGCAGGGGCCCGUACAAACGCCGGAUCAUGUGGAUUAAUUCGUGGCUCCGCGAAAAAUCUUACCUGGGAUUGACCUACGCCACAGAGCUCUAGAUAUAAGGCAUCCAUUGUGGGUUGUGUGA